GUGGCAGCCGCCGCGGUAAUACGGAGGGUGCGAGCGUUAAUCGGAAUUACUGGGCGUAAAGCGCAUGCGGGUGGUUUGUUAAGUCAGAUGUGAAAGCCCGGGGCUCAACCUCGGAAUUGCAUUUGAAACUGGCAGGCUAGAGUACUGUAGAGGGGGGUAGAAUUUCAGGUGUAGCGGUGAAAUGCGUAGAGAUCUGAAGGAAUACCGGUGGCGAAGGCGGCCCCCUGGACAGAUACUGACACUCGGAUGCGAAAGAGUCGGGCGCAAACAGGCUUAGAAACCCUUCGUAGUCC
rnacentral:rRNA from 1 species